rnacentral:rRNA from 1 species
AUACGUAGGGGGCGAGCGUUGUCCGGAAUGAUUGGGCGUAAAGGGCGCGUAGGCGGCGCGGUAAGUCUGGAGUGAAAGUCCUGCUUUCAAGGUGGGAAUUGCUUUGGAUACUGCCGCGCUUGAGUGCAGGAGAGGUUAUCGGAAUUCCCGGUGUAGCGGUGAAAUGCGUAGAGAUCGGGAGGAACACCAGUGGCGAAGGCGGGUAACUGGACUGCAACUGACGCUGAGGCGCGAAAGUGUGGGGAGCAAACAGGAUUAGAUACCCUGGUAGUCCACACUGUAAACGAUGAAUGCUAGGUGUAAGAGGUAUCGACCCCUUUUGUGCCGGAGUUAACACAAUAAGCAUUCCGCCUGGGGAGUACGGCCGCAAGGUUGAAACUCAAAUGAAUUGACAGGG